AAGUGUGGACGCCAGUCUGCAUGGAGCCGACCUUGAAAUACCACCCUUUAAUGUUUGAUGUUCUAACGUUGACCCGUAAUCCGGGUUGCGGACAGUGUCUGGUGGGUAGUUUGACUGGGGCGGUCUCCUCCUAAAGAGUAACGGAGGAGCACGAAGGUUGGCUAAUCCUGGUCGGACAUCAGGAGGUUAGUGCAAUGGCAUAAGCCAGCUUGACUGCGAGCGUGACGGCGCGAGCAGGUGCGAAAGCAGGUCAUAGUGAUCCGGUGGUUCUGAAUGGAAGGGCCAUCGCUCAACGGAUAAAAGGUACUCCGGGGAUAACAGGCUGAUACCGCCCAAGAGUUCAUAUCGACGGCGGUGUUUGGCACCUCGAUGUCGGCUCAUCACAUCCUGGGGCUGAAGUAGGUCCCAAGGGUAUGGCUGUUCGCCAUUUAAAGUGGUACGCGAGCUGGGUUUAGAACGUCGUGAGACAGUUCGGUCCCUAUCUGCCGUGG
rnacentral:rRNA from 1 species